rnacentral:rRNA from 1 species
GAUGAACGCUAGCGGCAGGCUUAACACAUGCAAGUCGAGGGGUAACAGGAAAAAGCUUGCUUUUUCGCUGACGACCGGCGCACGGGUGCGUAACACGUAUGCAACUUACCUAGAACAGGGGGAUAGCCCAGAGAAAUCUGGAUUAAUACCCCAUAAUGAUACAAAUUCGCAUGUUUUUGUAUUUAAAACUCCGGUGGUUCUAGAUGGGCAUGCGGUCUAUUAGCUUGUUGGUGAGGUAACGGCUCACCAAGGCAACGAUAGAUAGGGGGUCUGAGAGGAUGAUCCCCCACACUGGUACUGAGACACGGACCAGACUCCUACGGGAGGCAGCAGUGAGGAAUAUUGGGCAAUGGACGAAAGUCUGACCCAGCCAUGCCGCGUGCAGGAUGAAUGCCCUAUGGGUUGUAAACUGCUUUUAUAUACCAAGAAACCUUCGGACGUGUCCGAGGCUGACGGUAGUAUAUGAAUAAGGACCGGCUAACUCCG